ACUGCACAUAAAGUCUGCAUAUUAUUUUACUUAAUUUACUUUGAUCUUUCCCUUCUAAAGUAACAUAAGAAACGUAAUGAUAUGAAUUACAAAAUGAAGACAAAGUACAUUUAUAACCGUGGUUAGAAUAAGCUUAUGCAAACAAAAUGAAGAAUGUUCACAUAUUUAUGAACAAUGCUGCGAGAUAUACACAUAUGUAUAAGCUUCAAAAACCAACCACAAGUUCUUCUCCUACCUCAGCAGCAUUACUUUUCGGGUUUGCUCUAGCCGCUCCCGAUUAUAUCUUUGUAUGUGUCUUUAAUCUUCUGCGUCAAAGCUUCCCUGAAAUUUCAAACACCAGAUAUGCCAUGGAAAUUCUAUAUGUUACUAUGGCAAAUCUUUUUUGGACCAAUGAAAAGAAAUUAUAUAUAUACUAAAACUGAAUCCCGAGUACUGUUCCUAGACUGUUCGUUGGCAAUGGUGAAAUGACGUUUGUGCCCCCAACUAACUGGUUCCUCUCUUAAUUAUGUUUACUAAUGAACAGUGCAAUGAUCUUUUUGCCCUGGUGCACAGCGACAUAGCCCUUUGCCCUGUUCGCUUCGUUUCAGAGAAACCAAAGCCGCUUCAUCGAAGAGAAGUGCGAGAGAGAGAGGCCUUAGAGAUCAUAGUCGUCUUCUCUAAUUCUCAGACAUGGGUACUUUCAAGGUAAGCCUGCAUAGCUUAUUCUCAUAUCUCUUUCCCCUUGCAAAUCUUGCUGUUCGUUUGGUCUUCAUCUCAUCUCAUCUGGUCUUCGUCGGUUCAGCCAUCUUUCAUCCUCUGUCCAACGUUCGUCUGAGGGAUUUCCGAUCUGCAAGUUCUUCCAUCCUUUCUCUUCAGGUUUGCAUCCCUUCAACUUUUGGCUUUUGAUGGGUUUCUGAGCAUGCUGUUGAAUCCUUUGAUUCCUUGCCCAAAUUGAUUCUGCUGCUGUGAUGAUCUGUUGUAGUUAAUAUUGUUGUUGUGGGAAAGUAAGCAUGCCAAUUUCGACAAUUUGUAAUGAUUUUCCUGCUGUAAUGGGUUGUUAAUUUGUUGUUGUGAUGAUAGGUUUAGAUGUUUACAACUC
rnacentral:lncRNA from 1 species